AUUGAACGCUAGCGGGAUGCUUUACACAUGCAAGUCGAACGCGUGGCGGACGGGUGAAUAAUAUAUCGGAACGUGCCCAAUAGCGGGGGAUAAGUACUCGAAAAAGUGGCUAAUACCGCUUACUAUUGGAGCGGCCGAUAUCGGAUGAGCUAGCUGGUGGGGUAAAGGCUCACCAAGGCACCGAUCCGUAGCUGGUUUGAGAGGACGACCAGCCACACUGUGACUGAGACACGGCCCAGACUCCUACGGGCGGCAGCAGUGGGGAAUUUUGGACAAUGGGGGAAACCCUGAUCCAGCCAUCCCGCGUGUAUGAGAAGGCCUUCGGGUUGUAAAGUACUUUUGGCAGAGAAGCGGUAUCUGCAGAAUACGCACCGGCUAACUACGUGCCAGCCGCCGCGGUAAUAC
rnacentral:rRNA from 1 species